rnacentral:rRNA from 1 species
AUACGGAGGGGGCUAGCGUUGCUCGGAAUUAUUGGGCGUAAAGGGCGUGUAGGCGGCCUUGCAAGUCUGAUGUGAAAGCCCUGGGCUUAACCUGGGAAUGGCAUUGGAUACUGUUUGACUAGAGUGCGAGAGAGGAGAGUGGAAUUCUCGGUGUAGCGGUGAAAUGCGUAGAUAUCCGGAGGAACAUCAGUGGCGAAGGCGGCUAUCUGGACCAAUACUGACGCUGAGGUACGAAAGCGUGGGGAGCAAACAGCAUUAGAUACCCUAGUAGUCC